GUGGGGAAUAUUGGACAAUGGGCGCAAGCCUGAUCCAGCCAUGCCGCGUGAGUGAUGAAGGCCCUAGGGUUGUAAAGCUCUUUCAGUGGGGACGAUAAUGACGGUACCCACAGAAGAAGCCCCGGCUAACUUCGUGCCAGCAGCCGCGGUAAUACGAGGGGGGCUAGCGUUGUUCGGAUUUACUGGGCGUAAAGCGCACGUAGGCGGAUCGUUAAGUCGAGGGUGAAAUCCUGGAGCUCAACUCCAGAACUGCCUUCGGUACUGGCGAUCUUGAGUCCGGAAGAGGUGAGUGGAACUCCUAGUGUAGAGGUGGAAUUCGUAGAUAUUAGGAAGAACACCAGUGGCGAAGGCGGCUCACUGGUCCGGUACUGACGCUGAGGUGCGAAAGCGUGGGGAGCAAACAGGAUUAGAAACCCCAGUAGUCC
rnacentral:rRNA from 1 species